rnacentral:rRNA from 1 species
GACGAACGCUGGCGGCGUGCUUAACACAUGCAAGUCGAACGGAAAGGCCCUGCUUUUGUGGGGUGCUCGAGUGGCGAACGGGUGAGUAACACGUGAGUAACCUGCCCUUUACUUUGGGAUAACUUCAGGAAACUGGGGCUAAUACCGGAUAUGAGCUCCUGCUGCAUGGUGGGGGUUGGAACGUUUCGGCGGGUGGGGAUGGACUCGCGGCUUAUCAGCUUGUUGGUGGGGUAGUGGCUUACCAAGGCUUUGACGGGUAGUCGGACUGAGGGGGUGACCGGCCACAUUGGGACUGAGAAACGGCCCAAACUCCUAAGGGAGGAAGCAGUGGGGAAUAUUGAAAAAUGGGCGGAAGCCUGAUGCAGCAACGCAGCGUGCGGGAUGACGGACUUAGGGUUGUAAACCGCUUUCGCCUGUGACGAAGCGUGAGUGACGGUAAUGGGUAAAGAAGAACCGGCUAACUACGUG